rnacentral:tRNA from 1 species
GCUCGGCGGGCAGCUGGCGGCGCACCGUCAUGCCUUCCAGCGGCAUGGCCACGUUGAAGAAGGCGCGGUUCGUCCCCGAGGCGGCGCG